GAUGGGCCUGCGUCUGAUUAGUUAGUUGGUGGGGUAACGGCCUACCAAGACAACGAUCAGUAGCCGACCUGAGAGGGUGAUCGGCCACAUUGGAACUGAGACACGGUCCAAACUCCUACGGGAGGCAGCAGUGGGGAAUAUUGCACAAUGGGCGAAAGCCUGAUGCAGCAACGCCGCGUGAGCGAUGAAGGCCUUUGGGUCGUAAAGCUCUGUCCUUGGGGAAGAAACAAAUGACGGUACCCAUGGAGGAAGCCCCGGCUAACUACGUGCCAGCAGCCGCGGUAAUACGUAGGGGGCAAGCGUUAUCCGGAAUUAUUGGGCGUAAAGAGUACGUAGGUGGUUUCUUAAGCGCAGGGUUUAAGGCAAUGGCUUAACCAUUGUUCGCCCUGUGAACUGGGAGACUUGAGUGCAGGAGAGGAAAGUGGAAUUCCUAGUGUAGCGGUGAAAUGCGUAGAUAUUAGGAGGAACACCAGUGGCGAAGGCGACUUUCUGGACUGUAACUGACACUGAGGUACGAAAGCGUGGGGAGCAAACAGGAUUAGAUACCCUGGUAGUCCACGCCGUAAA
rnacentral:rRNA from 1 species